UACGAAGGGGGCUAGCGUUGUUCGGAUUUACUGGGCGUAAAGCGUGCGCAGGCGGUUAUGUAAGACAGAUGUGAAAUCCCCGGGCUCAACCUGGGAACUGCAUUUGUGACUGCAUAGCUAGAGUACGGUAGAGGGGGAUGGAAUUCCGCGUGUAGCAGUGAAAUGCGUAGAUAUGCGGAGGAACACCGAUGGCGAAGGCAAUCCCCUGGACCUGUACUGACGCUCAUGCACGAAAGCGUGGGGAGCAAACGAGG
rnacentral:rRNA from 1 species